UCUCUUAAUGAGAACUUAAGGACCAGAGG
rnacentral:piRNA from 1 species